CAGCAGCCGCGGGAAUACCAGCACCUCGAGUGGUCAGGAGGUUUAUUGGGCCUAAAGCAUCCGUAGCCGGUUGCAUAAGUUUUCGGUUAAAUCUAUGCGCUUAACGUAUAGGCCGCCGAAAAUACUGUGCAGCUAGGGAGUGGGAGAGGUACACGGUACUCGAUAGGAAGGGGUAAAAUCCUUUGAUCUAUUGAUGACCACCUGUGGCGAAGGCGGUGUACCAGAACACGUUCGACGGUGAGGGAUGAAAGCUGGGGGAGCAAACCGGAUUAGAUACCCCAGUAGUCCCUGUCUCUUAUAC
rnacentral:rRNA from 1 species